UCCUGAAGACCAUGCUGAAUAAAAGAAGCCAGCCACAGAUCACAAACUAUAUGAUUACUCAUAUAAAAUACCCUGAGAAGGUGAAUCCGUAAAGAUUAAAAAGUAGAUCAUUAGUUGCCUGGGGGAGGGUGACUGUGUGGUGGUGGGGUUCUAGGGUGUGUGAUGCAAUGUUAUGAAACUGUGAUGUUUGCACAAUCUAUGAAGAUGUUACAAAACAGCCUGAGACUUGAGCAAGGUGGUUCGUUUGCCAGGAGUUUGCCAGCCUUCCUAGUAGACACCUUCGUAGAAGAGAACAAAUGAACUUUGUCUAGCUUGCUAGUGGAUUUCAGUCUAUUUAUUUAUUUAUUUAUUUAUGGUUUUUCGAGACAGGCUUUCUCUGUAUUGCUUUGGAGGUUGCCCUGGAACUCACUCUGUAGACCAGGUUGGCCUCCAACUCACAGAGAUCUGCCUGCCUCUGCCUACUGAGUGCUGGGAUUAAAGGUGUGCACCGCCAAUGGCCAGCUCAGUCAUUUAUCUUGAUGGCUGUAUGCAGAAAGGCUUCCCCCUCAGGUCUACUGAUAGGGGACUUGCAUAUCUUAGAGCUGUGGGAUGGUUGCAAAAGUGACACAUUGUCUACCUGGUGGCUCUGAUAAAUUUAGUCUACAAAUGCAGACAUAUCCAGUACUGAUUUUGUGCAUUGCCACUAAGUUGUAAGGGCCUUAACUUAGUCCAGACAAGCAAUCGUUCUGCCAAUCUCUCUUAUUCUAGUGUCUUACUCUGUUUAGGAUACUGUAACAAAAUACCAUCAACCUGGCUUAAAAGUAACAACCAUCUGCUUCUCACAGUUCUGAUUGCCCAGAAGUCCAAGAUCAAGCCACAGACCACCCCGGUGUCUGGAGAUCACACACCUGGUUCACAUACAGCCAUAUGUUCCCUGCAUCCCACCAAGUAUAAAGAGGGAGCAAGCUCUCUGGCCAAAGAAGAUGGAGCCUGAUGUGAGCCUAGCAGCAGCAGCAGCAGCAGCAGCAGCAGCAGCAGCAGCAGCAGCCACAGCAGCAUCUAAAAGUGGGCAGGCAAAGUGAAGGGACCAGCUCCCCAUUUUGGCAGCCAUAACAGCCAAACAUGUAUUUGUCUGACCUUGUCUUAGUCACUAAGGUCAGAUGCCUGCCCCUUUCAGCAGCCAUGACAGUAACACGUGCUUUUCUGACCUUGCCUUGGUCUCUAGAGGUUAGGUGCCUGCCUCAUGGCAAGGAACCAAUCAG
rnacentral:lncRNA from 1 species